rnacentral:lncRNA from 1 species
CUGAGCCCCCUGAGGCUCGGGGUCAGGUCUGUGCCGACUUUGCAGCCCUGCGACAGUGGAUUCUCAUUAAACGCUUCCUGAGAGCAAAGACAUGAGGGCUGGAACCUGGCUCCCCUGCAUGCAGACUACAUCUGCCAGGUGCGGUGCUAGGAGAGGCAGGUAAGAGAAGGUUCCGCCUCCCAGCACGUUUCCUUCUAAGGGGAGGCAGAGGCUAAACAAAUAUAUAUGACCACCCUGAACAGUUCCUGAAGGCAAAUAAGUGACAGUAUGUGGAGCGGGAUGUGACCUUGACCAGGGUCUGAGGUUUCCUGAAAGAAGCCGUGUUUGAGGCCUGAUCUAAAAGCUGAGCAGGAACAACUACCCAGGGAGCUCCCGUUGUGGCUCCUUGGGUUUUUUAGGGCCGUGGAUGUGGCCCUAAAAAAGACCCCCCCCAAAAAAAAAAUCAUGAAGUUGAAUUUCAGAGAGGGAUAAAUGCUCCAAGGAGUGAUGCGAUGGAACCAAGGGGGAGGGUGGGCUGGGGGCUGCAGGGGGCGGGGGUCAGGGUCAUGCAACCUCUGAGGAUGCAAAGAGGUAGUGGAAAAGCAUUGCAGCUGGGGGAACAGUCAAGGCAAAGUCUUGAGGUUGGACGAGAGACCAGGGGGCUGGAAGGGGAAGUCGUGGUGGGAGAGGGGCCCUGGGGGUGGAACAGGCCUGGACGGCCCUGGGGAGCUUAACCCUGGGGAGGCCUGGGGGGUUUCAGGCAGGAGUGAUGGGCUCCAUUCCCCCUGACCUGCCAGAAUCUCCCUUCUCGCUCAUUCUGGAAACCCCCUCAGCCCCAGUUCCCUAUUUCAGCCCUUUCCAGCCCAGCUGCCUCCCUUACCCCCGUUACAGGUACUCCCUGGGCUGGAAUUUCCCAAGAUCUGCCGUCUGGGAGGGGAACGAACACUGGUGACCAUCAUUGUCAAGGCCACGAUGGUUACGUUUUCACCAGAGCCACCUGCCCACAGAGACCUGGGAUAAUAGAGGCCAAAGGUGGCCCAUCAGCUCAGAAACCUGUAAUUCCGCACAUGCCCAACCAUCCACAGGGACCGGAAGGAGCCGAGCAGACGCCAGCGGAAACCCACAGAUGUUUGCAAUUGACAACAGACCCAUCAGCAGAUGUCCUUAAAGAAUUUGCCGGCACCUGCUGCCUGUUUACCAAUGCUCCCUCCGUGAAGUUCACCUUCAGCUCACGGUGACCACCGCCACCGCCGCCGCCACUGGGGCCCCAAGUCGGGGAUGCCUAGCUCGGGUGGCCCCUUGCUCUAGCCCCCAAGGACAGUCACUUGACCUCUCUGAGCCAGAGAUGCUGCAUGUGUGAAGGAGAAGUGGUAACGCUCACCUCCUAGGAUGGCGGUGACGAUUCGAAAUGAAAACGUCUAGGGCCCUUGGCGUGGGGUCAGCUCCAGGUAGGUGCCCGGUCAGUGGCAGCUGUCGUGAUUCCUCACCUCUUAGCCUCCGUUUCCCCAGCUGGGUUUGGACAGGGCUUAUCUAGAUCAGUGGUUCUCAGUUGGGGGUGAUUUUACCCCCCAGCUGUGGGGCAAGGGAAGCUGCUGGCAUCAGGUGGCGUCGGAGAUGCUGCCAACGUCCGACAGGGUGCAGGACAGCCACGCACAGCGGGGGAUUGUCCAGCCCCAAAUGUCCACAUGAUCUGUAUUAAGAAACCCUGGACUAAGUUCAUCUCUGCGUUUCCCUCGCAGUAGAGGAAGUUUGGGUUGGGUCUGUGUUGCCUUGUGCUGGGAGGGGUCUGGAGCAUCCAGGCUUUCAACCCGGACGUGGCCCCGUAGACUGGACCUCGGGCCUGGGACACUUCCUCCCAGGAGGCAAAGAGGCCCCUCAGCCUCAAAGCCUCAUGUGGGGACCUUGUUCCUGUUUCAGGCCCAACGUGUGCAUGUUUGUCUGGCUUAAGUGUGUGCAUGUGUCACGGGGCGCUUGGCCAGCCUCACUGCUGUAUUGUCCCCUGUGGGGAGGGGACAGGGUCCUGUGUUCAGUGACACAGGAGGGGUGCAUGGAUCAACUGCUGGGAGAGACCCGCUGGCCGUGGGGGACCGGAUAGAGCUAUUAGUAUGUGGUGUAUUGUCUGUUUCCCGCCCCCGCCUCAUACGUCAGUCAACUACCAAUGACUGUAUGAUGGUUGCACAGCUCUGAAUGUACUAAAAAUCAUUGAAAUGUACACUUUAAAUGAGUUGAUUGUAGGGU